rnacentral:rRNA from 1 species
AUCGAACGCUGGCGGCAGGCCUAACACAUGCAAGUCGAGCGAGCGGCGGACGGGUGAGUAAUGUAUGGGGACUGCCCGAAAGAGGGGGAUAACUACUGGAAACGGUGGAUAAUACCGCAUACUAUCGGAUAACCCAUGUGGGAUUAGCUAGUAGGUGGGGUAAAGGCUCACCUAGGCGACGAUCUCUAGCUGGUCUGAGCGGAUGAUCAGCCACACUGGGACUGAGACACGGCCCAGACUCCUACGGAGGCAGCAGGGGGGAAUAUUGCACAAUGGGCGCAAGCCGGAUGCAGCCAUGCCGCGUGUAUGAAGAAGGCCUUAGGGUUGUAAAGUACUUUCAGCUGAGAAGCGUUACCCGCGGAAGAAGCACCGGCUAACUCCGUGCCAGCAGCCGCGGUAAUUC